rnacentral:rRNA from 1 species
GAUGAACGCUGGCGGCGUGCCUAAUACAUGCAAGUCGAGCGAACGGGCGAGAAGCUUGCUUCUCUGAUGUUAGCGGCGGACGGGUGAGUAACACGUGGAUAACCUACCUAUAAGACUGGGAUAACUUCGGAAAACCGGAGCUAAUACCGGAUAAUAUUUUGAACCGCAUGGUUCAAAAGUGAAAGACGGUCUUGCUGUCACUUAUAGAUGGAUCCGCGCUGCAUUAGCUAGUUGGUAAGGUAACGGCUUACCAAGGCAACGAUGCAUAGCCGACCUGAGAGGGUGAUCGGCCACACUGGAACUGAGACACGGUCCAGACUCCUACGGGAGGCAGCAGUAGGGAAUCUUCCGCAAUGGGCGAAAGCCUGACGGAGCAACGCCGCGUGAGUGAUGAAGGUCUUCGGAUCGUAAAACUCUGUUAUUAGGGAAGAACAUAUGUGUAAAUAACUGUGCACAUCUUGACGGUACCUAAUCAGAAAGCCACGGCUAACUACGUA